GAUGAACGCUGGCGGCGUGCUUAACACAUGCCAGUCGAACGGAAAGGCUCCUGCUUGCAGGGGUACUCGAGCGGCGAACGGGUGAGUAACACGUGGGUGAUCUGCCCUGCACUUCGGGAUAAGCCUGGGAAACUGGGUCUAAUACCGGAUAGGACCACAUUUUGGAUGGUGUGGUGGAAAGUUUUUCGGUGUGGGAUGAGCUCGCGGCCUAUCAGCUUGUUGGUGGGGUAAUGGCCUACCAAGGCGUCGACGGGUAGCCGGCCUGAGAGGGUGUACGGCCACAUUGGGACUGAGAUACGGCCCAGACUCCUACGGGAGGCAGCAGUGGGGAAUAUUGCACAAUGGGCGCAAGCCUGAUGCAGCGACGCCGCGUGGGGGAUGACGGCCUUCGGGUUGUAAACUCCUUUCGCUAGGGACGAAGCGCAAGUGACGGUACCUGGAGAAGAAGCACCGGCUAACUACGUG
rnacentral:rRNA from 1 species